CGGCGGGGUGGCGCGGGAACAUAGGCGCGCCGCCGACGCGCGACCACCGGGCCCGUGGUCGCUCGCGCGAUCGUCGGCGUGCUCCGUGGG
rnacentral:tRNA from 1 species